rnacentral:lncRNA from 1 species
UGAAGUUGGGAUGCAUACAUUCAAGAGAAGGCUUCAUGAAGACACAAAACACAUUGUCUCAAGUUUUUCCAUCAUAAAAAAGGGGAGUAUGUGAGUGCAACUUUCCGUUAGAUGUAUUUUUUAUGAUGUCAAAACUAGGAUACUUUAGCGUUUAUGUAUAUUGGUCGGAAUCCUCUGAGUCUUAAUGUGCAUCUUAGUAUUAGGAAGCAUAAAAACAUUUUGAAAAUGGUUUAG